UACAGAGGGGGCAAGCGUUGUUCGGAAUUACUGGGCGUAAAGGGCGCGUAGGCGGCCUGCUAAGUCGAACGUGAAAUCCCUGGGCUCAACCCAGGAACUGCGUCCGAUACUGGUUGGCUUGAGUUUGGGAGAGGGAUGCGGAAUUCCAGGUGUAGCGGUGAAAUGCGUAGAUAUCUGGAGGAACACCGGUGGCGAAGGCGGCAUCCUGGACCAACACUGACGCUGAGUGAGCGAAAGCCAGGGGAGCAAACGGG
rnacentral:rRNA from 1 species